GCCCGACUGGCUCAGUCAGUAGAGUGUGUGAUUGUUGAUCUCGGGGCCAUGAGUUCGAGCUCCAUAUUGGGUA
rnacentral:tRNA from 1 species